rnacentral:rRNA from 1 species
AUUGAACGCUGGCGGCAGGCUUAACACAUGCAAGUCGAGCGGAGAGAGGUAGCUUGCUACUGAUCUUAGCGGCGGACGGGUGAGUAAUGCUUAGGAAUCUGCCUAUUAGUGGGGGGCAACAUUUCGAAAGGAAUGCUAAUACCGCAUACGUCCUACGGGAGAAAGCAGGGGAUCUUCGGACCUUGCGCUAAUAGAUGAGCCUAAGUCGGAUUAGCUAGUUGGUGGGGUAAAGGCCUACCAAGGCGACGAUCUGUAGCGGGUCUGAGAGGAUGAUCAGCCACACUGGGACUGGGACACGGCCCAGACUCCUACGGGAGGCAGCAGUGGGGAAUAUUGGACAAUGGGCGGAAGCCUGAUCCAGCCAUGCCGCGUGUGUGAAGAAGGCCUUAUGGUUGUAAAGCACUUUAAGCGAGGAGGAGGCUACUUUAGUUAAUACCUAGAGAUAGUGGACGUUACUCGCAGAAUAAGCACCGGCUAACUCUGUGCCAGCCGCCGCCGUAAUAC